rnacentral:tRNA from 1 species
UAAAAAGUAAGCUAACUUUUAAGCUUUUGGGUUCAUACCCCAACUAUAGAUACAAUCUCUUUUUAA